AAUGUCAUGUUAUGAAACAGCAGGGGCAAUGGCUUAAAGUUUGUAAAUAAAAAAGCACUUCACCACAUUGUGAUACAUAGUGGGGUUGUUGUGGCCUGCAUGUAUGGCUGCCACAGGUAAUGGCUCAUUCAUCUUUAUUGAUGGUGGCAGUUGCAGAAUGACUCAGAAGUGUAUAGAAACAUCUUAGCUCUUAAAGCCGGCGGUUCAUCUUACAGCACAGCAAUGAUCCAAAACAUAUUGCUUCAACAACAACAAAAAUCCAGCUAAAUCUGGAAUACAUUUGGGUGCUCAGAAAUAGAGGGGACUAUGGUUUAAAGGUGUUGUAAUGUUUGAACCAAAAUGUAUGAAGAUGUGUUUAAUUAAACAUGAGAGUGUGCACUUUAGGGGAUCUGUUUGAUUACAAAUGUAAAACAGUGGAGUACAGAGGAAAAUCAAGUCAAUAACGUAUUUGUCCCAAACAUUAUGGAGGGGCCUGUAUACAAAUCGAGGGACAUAAAAUGUUUGUCAUAAUUGAGUGUAUAGUUGAUGAAAAGGACAAGGUGAACAUCUUUAUUCAGUCAUUUCAGUUUUACCUUUUCCAAACAUUCCUCAAACACUGGUGAACAUCUGCUGUGCAUGCAUCAGGUUCUCUAAGUGACAAUUGUCUUCCCUUAGAUACCUUCAUUAAGUACAGAUUCAUCAAUAUUCAAAUCUUUCAGUCUAUUUCACUUCAAGCAUGACAUAAAGAGUACAACUUCUUUCAUGGUGUUUUGUAGGAAAUAUUAGCAAAAUAUGCCAUGCUUUAAAAUAUUUGUUAGGUGCAUACUAGGCUAUAGUGUAUGGAUAAAGCCGUAAGCCAUACACUGUGCAGCUGAGAAAUUGAGUGUUUAGGCUUGUCUACAAAAACACUAUUCUAGAAUAUGUAUACAAUCAGAAACAUAAUUCAAAGCUUAUUGAAAAAUGUACAUGAGCUGACUAUAAUUCGAAGAGGGAAAA